GAUAAGCUAUUUUUAAACUAAUUAAUAUAUUCCAUUUUGAAAUUAAAAUGCUUAUACUUGAGUAUCAUUCUCUAAAGAGAAAUUGGUUUCUAAGAAACUAAAAUUGAUAAAUUGGCAGUUACCUGGUAAGGGUUUUCAAAUGUCCUAGUAAGUUACAAUAUAAAAAACAAAUAAGAAAAAAAAGUGGUGAAUUUUUAUCCCAUAUGCAAAAUCUUCUCUACUGAGGAAGCUCACAUAGACACCCAAUGCCUUACACAUAUCAAAAUUCCAGCUACCCGAAGGAAAGUGGAUGUUCAGCAUAAGCCAUGUUGUUUAUUUAUACAAACAAUUUACACAUAGUUUGUCAGUCAGGGAAUAGUGGGAACUCUCAAAAUCUUAAGUUCCUGGAUGCCAGUUAAGGGCCAAACUUGAGCAUAAGGCUUUCUAAGGACAGCAGACUCAGGCCUGCUAAGUUAAUCCUUUAUGCACAGUUUGUAUUUGGAUCAUGAAUUUUCAAUUAAAUUAUCCUCCACUUAUAUGUGUGAAUUAUUGCUUAAGCAAGGGAAAUUAAAUUGGAAUGCUUUGAAAAUUCAAUUUUAAAUUGAGAAUAUAGGGAUCAUAAUUUUUUUGUCUUACCUUUUAUAUAUGAAUACCUUAUCUAGUUUGAGAAUAGAGAAAUCCCAAGAGUGGUUCCUAGAAAAAUAUAAUUAAAUGGCUAAAAUAUAGAGCAUAUGUAAUAAAAUGCCUCUAUUUAUCUGUUAGGUCUGAUUCCAACUAAAUAUAGCCAUAAGAGAAUGUCUUCUUUACAGCAUAUUUUAAAAUAUUUUUAGUUAUAGAUGGAUGCAAUAUCUUUAUUUUGUUUAUUCAUUUUUAUGUGGUGCUGAGGAUCGAACCCAGCGCCUCACAUGUACGAGGCAAGCGCUCUGCCACUGAGCCACAACCCCAGCCCCAUACAGCAUAUUUUUAGCUUUCAAAGAAUAGACAUUUCCUUUUCAUUUGUAAAAUUAAUCAUUCAAAUUAUUAACUUUAUUGAGUUCAGUUGAAAUCUGUUCAUGGAGAUGACCCCAAAUAAGUACACAGAAAAAUUCAUAUUUGAGGGACAUACCUAUACU
rnacentral:lncRNA from 1 species